GCAAGUCGAACGGUAACAGAAACUAGCUUGCUAGUUUGCUGACGAGUGGCGCACGGGUGAGUAAUAUAUAGAUAAUGUGCCUCUUAGUCUGGGAUAGCCAUUGGAAACGAUGAUUAAUACUAGAUACUCCUUCUUACUCUAAUGUAAGUUGGGAAAGUUUUUCGCUAAGAGAUCAGUCUAUAUCCCAUCAGUUAGUUGGUAGGGUAAUGGCCUACCAAGGCAAUGACGGGUAGCGGGUUUGAGAGGAUGAUC
rnacentral:rRNA from 1 species